rnacentral:rRNA from 1 species
AUUGAGACAACGUACAAACCUUAUCGAUAAACAAUUGGAGGGCAAGUCUGGUGCCAGCAGCCGCGGUAAUUCCAGCUCCAAUAGCGUAUAUUAACGUUGUUGCAGUUAAAAAGCUCGUAGUUGAAAUGAAGGGUAGUUGUGUAAUGAAUACAUUCGUGUAUUUUGUUAUUCUACUACCCUCCUUCUAAAUUCGAUAUAUGAGUAUUAAUUUACUUGUAUAUGGUUUUAGACCUUUACUGUGAGAAAAUUAGAGUGUUCAAAGCAGGCAUUUGCUUGAAUAUAUUAGCAUGGAAUAAUCAUGUAUGAUUUUCAUGAUGUAUUUGAUUGGUUUGGUUCAUGAGAAUAAGAUUAAAAGGGACAGUUGGGGGUAUUCAUAUUCAAUAGUCAGAGGUGAAAUUCUCGGAUUUAUGGAAGAUGAACAAGUGCGAAAGCAUUUACCAAGGAUGUUUUCAUUAAUCAAGAACGAAAGUUAGGGGAUCGAAGAGGAU